rnacentral:snRNA from 1 species
AGCUUUGCGCAGUGGCAGUAUCGUAGCCAAUGAGGUUUAUCCAAGGCACGAUGAUUGCUAAUUGAAAAAGACUUCUGAUGUCGACUUCUGGGCUCCACAUAUGCAUGUACUCAAAUGCAUAUGUACCUGCACA